rnacentral:rRNA from 1 species
CCUACGGGAGGCAGCAGUGGGGAAUAUUGCACAAUGGGCGCAAGCCUGAUGCAGCCAUGCCGCGUGUAUGAAGAAGGCCUUCGGGUUGUAAAGUACUUUCAGCGGGGAGGAAGGUAGUAAAGUUGAUACCUUUGCUCAUUGACGGUACCCGCAGAAGAAGCAACGGCUAACUCCGUGCCAGCAGCCGCGGUAAUACGGAGGGUGCAAGCGUUAAUCGGAAUUAUUGGGCGUAAAGCGCACGCAGGCGGGUUGUUAAGUCAGAUGUGAAAUCCCCGGGCUCAACCUGGGAACUGCAUCUGAUACUGGCAAGCUAGAGUCUGGUAGAGGGAAGUGGAAUGCCAGGUGUAGCGGUGAAAUGCGUAGAGAUCUGGAAGAAUACCGGUGGCGAAGGCGGCCUACUGGACGAAGACUGACGCUCAGGUGCGAAAGCGUGGGGAGCAAACAGGAUUAGAUACCCUAGUAGUC